rnacentral:rRNA from 1 species
UACAGAGGUCUCAAGCGUUGUUCGGAUUCAUUGGGCGUAAAGGGUGCGUAGGCGGCGCGGUAAGUCGGGUGUGAAAUCCUGGAGCUCAACUCCAGAACUGCCUUUGAUACUGGGGAUCUCGAGUCCGGGAGAGGUGAGUGGAACUGCGAGUGUAGAGGUGAAAUUCGUAGAUAUUCGCAAGAACACCAGUGGCGAAGGCGGCUCACUGGCCCGGAACUGACGCUGAGGUGCGAAAGCGUGGGGAGCAAACAGG